GCCAGCAGCCGCGGUAACACCGGCGGCCCGAGUGGUGAUCGUGAUUAUUGGGUCUAAAGGGUCCGUAGCCGGUUUGGUCAGUCCUCCGGGAAAUCUGAUAGCUCAACUAUUAGGCUUUCGGGGGAUACUGCCAGACUUGGAACCGGGAGAGGUAAGAGGUACUACAGGGGUAGGAGUGAAAUCUUGUAAUCCCUGUGGGACCACCUGUGGCGAAGGCGUCUUACCAGACGGUUCGACGGUGAGGGACGAAAGCUGGGGGCACGAACCGGAUUAGAUACCCGGGUAGUCCCAGCCGUAAACGAUGCUCGCUAGGUGUCAGGCAUGGCGCGACCGUGUCUGGUGCCGCAGGGAAGCCGUGAAGCGAGCCACCUGGGAAGUACGGCCGCAAGGCUGGAACUUAAAGGAAUUGGCGGGGGAGCACAACAACGGGUGGAGCCCUGCGGUUUAAUUGGACUCAACGCCGGACAACUCACCGGGGGCGACAGCAAUAUGUAGGCCAAGCUGAAGACUUUGCCUGAAUCGCUGAGAGGAGGUGCAUGG
rnacentral:rRNA from 1 species